CACAGGUGAUGUCAGACAGACAGGAGCCAAACCUCAAAUCCAUCCCUCCUCCCUGACUCAACUUAAAGGUUUAUACAGCCAGAAAGGAAAACAGAAGGGCAAGGAAGAGGAGUUGGCCAACAGGGAGCAGGUAGUCUUCAUUGUUCAAAUCAUCCUCAUCUGUGAAAUGAACCCAUUAGAUGAGAAUCAGUUGAUCUUUCAAUUCUGCAAACACUGUAUAGUCAGAGAUCAAUUGCAGAAAAUGGGAGCUAUCUGAACUGCAUGAAGUGAAAAUGGAUCUAAUCCAAGAAACUAAGAAAACUUUUGGAAAGGUCAAAAGAGCCAUGACACCAAAAACAAGACUCAGCAACAAUGCCCAAAACAACAACUCCGCAAGACAGUUGCUUCCUAUGCCACAAACACAGGGAUGCAUCACCUUACUGGUGUCAGGGUCAGAAGUUUCCUGUGCAACCACCUGUUUAGAGCAAGGUCACACUCUGUAGACAGACAUCCACCAAAAAAAACAUGGAACGUGGUUGUCCUGAGCCCUGCCUCUCAGCACCUAUGAAACCAAUGACCACCUACUAGAAUGCACUACGGGAAACUCAGUGUUUCCGUGGGCAUUGCCUGCUUAUCAGCAGAACCAAUGAAAGCAACAGAAAGUUAGCCUUAAUCCCCUUCAGAACCCUGGCUUCAGGGGCAUCUGGCACAUAUGGAUUUUUAUUUUCCAGCCCCUUCAUAUUAAAAGGUCACUAGAAGGAAGUUGGAAUGGAUGGUGAGUCCAGUGCGCUGUGUCUACCCCAGGUGCUUUGUGCCAGGCACUGUACAGGGCACCAGAGAUUCAAAGAAGCCCUAGACUCCAAGGAGCUUAGGGCCUAACUGUGUAGUCUAGAAGUGCAAUACAUUGGUGCUAUUGAGAGUUAAAAGUCAGAACUCAUGAUGGAGUCUCGGUCAUGAAAGAGCCCAAGGCAGGCAGUUGCCCCCAGAAUGACAAGACAACGUAAAGAGAGAAAAAGUAGCUUGAAGCUAUUCUUGAAAAGUCAGUCAGGGAGAGAAGCAAUCUAAGAGGAAAGAAGAGUAGGAACAAAGGUAUAGAGGAAUCUGUAGUAAUUUGAGAAACAGAGCAGAGCUGCAUGAUGUGCAGGGCCAAGACAGGGAUGCAUGGGAUAGGGAGAGUUACAAGCUGCAGAGGGGAGAGGUAAAUUAAGCAUGGUUUUUGCAAGCUAUGCUGAAGAUCUUAGAAGGGCCAACGGACAACAGUGAAAGAUUUUAAGCAGGAAAGAAAUAUGGACACCAUCAGACUGGUGUCAGAAACCCUGUAAAGAGAAACUAGAAUUCCAGAAAUCCAAAGACAAAGCCAGGAGAUUCUAAAGAUAGAGAGAGUAAGAAGAACAAGGAGAAGUGGGCAGAGCCAUAGUGAACUAGGGCCACACACGACACUUCAGUGAAAGGGUGGAGGUUCACCAAGCACAGCUACUCUUAGUGGUUCAUGUAGCUGAGUCAGAGUGAGAAGCUACUGGUCAAAAGUCAGUGCCCAGUGUAGCGUCACUGAGCAAGAACAGCCUCAUAACAGCUCCCUUCAUGGAACCCCUGCCUCACCUAAAAUGAAUGGAAAGUUCUAGAGGUGAGGAGCAAAUCUGGGAAGAGAGGAUGGAGAAAGGGGACAAGAAAAAUGGGGGAAAGGCAAAAAUUGGUGACUAUGUGUUUUCCCAAACCACACUGAAUUGCAUCAAAACACAGUCUCAACUCAGACCCCAGUCCACGUCCCUACUAUAAAAACUGACCAUGGUCCCUCAAAUCAUGAGCGGUUUUCUAUGAUCCCCUUGGACUUGCAUGGAGACCCUUGUUAGUGACUUUCAGGCUACCCCUUGCCCUCAGUCUUUGGGAAGUUUAUUUCCACCAUUGAAAAAAAAAACUGCCUCCUUUUUCCACCUCCCCCAUCCCACUGUGCAGGAACCUUGUCCUUCCUUAGCAAAACAUUUCCCCAAGUCCACAAAAGAAAGGGCAGGCACCCUGGAAGCGGAGUCUGAGACAGAUUUGGAUGCACUUAAUUUAUUGGAAGAGGGAUAUCAGGAGAAAGAAAGUGAGAGGAGCAGACGGGGCAGAGGAAGGGCCUGAUCAAGGAUUUGGCUCAGCUGGAACCUAGCAGGGAGUUCUGAGCGUGAAUUGAACCAUCCUGAGAAAAGAGAGCCAGUCUUUUGUACCACCAUGUCAGUCACUGGCUGAAGGCUGCCCUUCUUCAGCAAGAACACAUAACCUCCCAGAGAAGGUGGCUCCCCCUCAACUAACGGCAAUUUUGAGGAGAAGAAGCCCCCUCUAGCAGCCAACCCACAGAGCAGAUGGAUAAAUGGUGCUGCUUCCUUGGAAAGGGCAUCUGGGAAGGGCACCAACAGCAUCUAGGGCAGGGGAAAUGCUCAUUUCAUCAAGCUUGUUGCACUGGAUCAGUUUUUCCUCUCUAUGCCUGUCUUCCAGAAGACUCUCUGCAAGAGCUGAAGGAGCCCUGACCUUGGGGUGAAUAAGUGAAGAGCAGAAUUGGUCCCACUCGUCUCUUUCACAUGGCCAUGGGUAUGCCAUGAAUCCAAGCAGGUCUUCUGGGACACAACUUCUCCAAGCAAUGAGCUCACCACUCCCUGAGCCUCCACUCUCUGGCUGAGCCCAGGGAUCCACGCUCUGGCUGAGCCCAGGCCCCAUGAACCUGCACCCCCCACAGCUUCUUCUCCACAGCAGAGUCCAGUGGCCCCACUGAUAUUUGUCUUGGCUGCCCCAAGGACUAGCAGAGACGUUCCUCCCAAGUUGAUAGGGCCCUUUUAGACAACUUUGCAUGAGCACGGUUCUUCUAGCUGAGCUGCAAGCAACCAUAUGAACUGCUUCUCUAGCUCAAGAUAUGACAUGAGCGUCUUCUUUCAUAUUGUUUUUAACUGAUCAUUCAUGUCCUGCUAUGGGAAGUUUAGCAUCUCUCUCAAGGAUGCUCCUCCUCAUCAAUUUUCUAAGAACUGCAGAGCCUGAAUCAGUUUACGGGGGCAUCACUGCCACUUCCAAAUGCAAAUAAAAGGGAGAAUUGGAGUGCCACCAAUUUCUGAGGCUAUAACUUUUCAUUUUUGUCGGUGUCAAAGACUGGACCAAUACAUCUUUGUCCCCUGCUAAUGAAUGUUCUUGGCCCAGAUGCAGUGAUGGCCCCGUGUUUGAGAUACCAGGUUGCAGCUAUCUUGGUUUACAAGGCCGCAUGCAAUCAUCAUAUCCCAAAGACUACUGUGAUAGAGGGCUCCCAGCCACACACAUGUCAGACCAGAGCAAGUUCUCCCUUACCAAGGUCCCUAGGUCUUCAUGCUUAACCCCAUCCUCGGCCUAGUUCAUUCCAACCCUGGAACCUCAUUGUCCUUCCCGACCCCUGGGCUUGGUUCACACCAACAGAUUUCCCUAACUCUGAAUAUCCAGGAACAGCAGUUGGAAUCUUUAUGCCUUCUCUCUCAGAGGAUCCUGAGGCCCAUAUGCAAAUAAAUUCUUCCACCCACCCAAAGAUCUGUACACCAAGAGGAAGCUUCCCCUCAGCCUCGAAAAACAAAAGACUUAUGACAGACACUUUAUGGUUGUCUUCUAUGCUGUUCAUGAAAUAUUUCUGGUUCUUCCUUCUUUCUGGUACAAAUAGAAUUGCACUUCUCUGCCCAUUUGUGGUUGGGAUGUGGCAAUGUGACCAUGUCUGGUCAAUGAGGUGGAAGUACAAGUGACACAUAUCACUAGGCUGGCUAUAUAAUUUACAGAGCCAGCUGGCGCAAUGGCUCACACUUGUAAUCCCAGCAUUUUAGGAAGCUGAGGCAGAUGGAUCACUUGAGUCCGAGAGUUCAAGACCAGCCUGGGAAACAUGGCAAAACCCCAUCUCUCCAAAAAAUUGUUUAAAGAUUAGCCGGGCAUGGUGGUGCGUAUAGUCCCAGCUGCUCAAAAGGCUGAGAUGGGAGGAUCGCUGGAGCCCAGGAGGCAGAGGUUGCAAUGAUUCGUGAUCACAUCACUGUACUCCAGUCUGGGCAACAGAGCAAGACCUUGUCUCAAAAAAAAAAAAAAAUAGAUAUUUCUGAUGAAGAAAGUAGGACACAAGUGAAAAACAACAACAAAUUACUUUUUCAAUAUGUGCACAGGUGCACAGGUGCACCUGGUGCACAGAAAAAAAACAAAAAACUUAAAAAAUAAAUUUACAGAGUCAAGUGCAAAAUGAAAGUAAGAAUCUUCUUGUUCAAAAAUGUAUUAAUAAUUUUGAGAUGGCAACAGCAGAGCAUUAAAACAAGCUCCUGGGCCGGGCGCGGUGGCUCACGCCUGUAAUCCCAGCACUUUGGGAGGCUGAGGCGGGCAGAUCACGAGGUCCGGAGAUCGAGACUAUCCUAGCUAACACGGUGAAAACCCAUUUCUACUAAAAAUACAAAAAAUUAGCCGGGCGUGGUGGCGGGCACCUAUAGUCCCAGCUACUCGGGAGGCUGAGGCAGGAGAAUGGCGUGAACCCAGGAGGCGGAGCUUGCAGUGAGCCAAGAUUGCACCACUACACUCCAGCCUGGGCGACAGAGUGAGACUCCAUCUCAAAAAAAAAAAAAAAAAACAA